CAUAUAAAUGCCAAGUAUAGUGUGUACUCAGAGAAUGCAAAUCAUUCUCUGAGUACACAUUAUACUUUGUCUUUACAGGUGUUGGGCAAACUCAAAAUGAAUAUAUCAAGAGUAUUCAGGCUAAGAGUCUGAAACAAGAACAUGGGCUGCUGAACUGCACAAGAAGUUAAAACCUGGGAGAAAAGUGUGACAGAGGACUAUUCCUGGCCUGAAGAGAAGUUGCAGGUUUAUACCAAUCCAUUGUUCAACUUCUUUUCUUGUUUUUAAUUGAUGUGGAAAAUCUGAAGUCAUAAAAUGCUGUGUGACUACAGGAUGACAGAAAAAUAUAGCAGGAACACCUCAGGCCAUAUUUUCAUCCCUUUCUUGAGGCUUAUAUGGAAAGGGCAGUCCUGGCUGAGGUCUGUGGCUGGAGGGAGCUGCCUGAAAAGCACCUGGAGAGCAAGAACUGGAGAAGGAUCCUCACAACAGAACCCCUGAGUGACCUCACCUUGUCUACCCAAAAGAUGGAGAGAAGGCACCACACAGAGUCUGGAGGUGAGUGAUCCACAGCCACUGCAGCUCCCACAGAGCUCAAAGCCACUGCUGCACUCCUGCCUUGUCCUGCAGCUGUCACAAGGCUCUGCAAGUCCCUGUGUUAUUGCAGCAAUGAAAUGCGUCAAUAAAAGAGAGACCUGGAUCCUCCCCGGUCA
rnacentral:lncRNA from 1 species